AUUUCUACAGUCUACAUUCAUAUACAUUUUAAAAGAUUCAAUAGACUUGUUUCUGUGUAUGAUGUUACCAUUAUAUAUUUUAUCUCCUGCCAUGAAUAUAUUAGGAAAGUUCCUUAUAUAUCUAUGUCAUACGUAUGUAUGUAGUCUCUAAAAUAUAGCAACACCAUAUGACUUUUCAAAGUGAUAUUUUAAAACUUUGCAUACUGUAACUCCCAAAGGUGUGAAGACAUAAAUCUAAGCAUUAGUCCUAAAUCCAGGUUGCAUUCCUUGGCUUCCCCUUUCUAUCAAUUUAUUCAGCCGAGCACCAGAAACAUCUCAACCAGAAUUGGCUGAGAACAUUUCAGGCUGAUUCAGUUUCUUCAAAACACAUACAGAGCCCCGAACCAUCAGAGAUUUAACGCAGAAACAUUUUCUCUUUACUGUGUGAUGAUUUAAGGGGUGGAGGGUAAUCUCACCUUGUUAUGCAUGCGGUGUUAGCUUAUUUAGUAGAGUCAUUUGAAAUUUUGAUCUCAUUUUUCUCAUCAUUAAAAUACACAAAACUGUGUAUACUGCUUAAGUUUUAGAGUUGGUAUGGGUGUGAAAGAACAUUUUUUAAGUUUUAUUUUGAUGUGGACCAUUUUUAAAGUCUUUAUUGAAUUCUUUACAAUAUUACUUCUGUUUUAAGUUUUGUUUUUUGGCUUUGAGGCAUUUGGGAUCUUAGUUCCCUGACCAGGGAUCUAAGCUGUACCCCCUGCUUGGAAGGCAAGGUCUUAACCACUGGACCACCAGGGAAGUCCCGGAAAGAAUUUGUAAAUUACAGUUUCCAUGUGCUGUAGUCACAUGCCUGGUUGUGUGGUCAUAGCUUCCAGUGGUCAAAGCAAAAGGAAAAUAUCAACAGUUAUAAAAUGUACACAGUAUGGUGGAUAAAGUAAACUCGAAUGUCCGAAGUACAAUCUCCACAAAGGAAUCUCUCCCAUAACAUCUUCAGGAGUCAUUAUGUAACACAAUAGACAACAAUUACAGGAGCAUUUGUUCCUGUCUA
rnacentral:tRNA from 1 species